CUCUCUCUCACUGCGAGUGUGUUCUGGUCCAAACGGUGUCCCAGUGCUUUGUGACGCAUUUCAUUUCCGGAUUUUUUUGCCUUGUAGUGCAUCCACGCAACUCCAUUGCCAUAAGCAAAAGAAGUACCAGCCUUAUGGGGGAGAAAUUUCAAUGAUUGUGUGUCGGAAGCGGGAGCGAGUAACAAGAGCGGUACCCAAGCAAAUUGGAAAUUAGACCUAGCCUACAGCAACAAUGACAGAACUCUCAGGUGUAGAGUCCAAGUACUGACCUCAGGACCAAUAUCCAAACUACCUCGUCGUUGAUAGACGACGAAGCACUGAUUCCAGAUAGACGACGAAGCACUGAAAAUUGCAAAUCGACAUUUUCAAUUUAUAUACAACGAUCUGUGGGAUAUAAAACAUUUCAUGCAUAGAACAUGAAGUAAGAUCAGUACGAAAAAUUCCUCUCGA